AUUUAUAGCUCGUAUUUAAAGAGCCCUUGGGAGUCUCCCCGGCUCGGCAGGGCGGCGGCGACGGCGGUGGCUGCGGAGCUGCAGUUAGCGCUGCGCGCGUGAGGUGGCGGGGCGGCAGCCGCGCAUCCCGGCCGUGUGGCGUGUUGGGCGUGGGGGAGCCUUCUUCCACGUUCCAGGGUGGCUUUUCCCCCACGUCCUCGCUCGAUUUCUAGAAAGGGGGAGGAAACGCUGCAGCUUCUACAGUACUUUUGCUUAAGACAAAGCCAAGGAUCAGGAAUCUCAAAAGAGCUGGGGGCAGAAGGUUUGAGCCGACCCCACCCCGGCUCUCCAUCUGAGCCCCGAGCGGCGCCGUUUCCUGAUGUUGGCUGUGCGUAGAGGCGGCCUUCCUGGGGGGAGGGGAGAACAAUGCCUCCUGAAAAGCCAAAAGUCGUGGAAUUUGGGGGCGGGGCUCUUGGGCCAAUUAAAGUGUAUUCGUGGAAAAUAAAUCGCAAGAUAGUGGCAGUGAUUAUCUUGACGUUCAAUCGAUUGAUGUUCUGACUUCCCAGCCCGCGAACUGCACACUGCAGCGCGAAAGCAG
rnacentral:lncRNA from 1 species